rnacentral:rRNA from 1 species
GACCCGUCUUGAAACACGGACCAAGGAGUCUAGCAUGUGUGCGAGUCAUUGAGUUGUUUUUAUAACACAAAACUGAAAGGCGUAACGAAAGUGAAGGUGAACGCUUGCCGUUCGCUCAGGGAGGAUGGAGCAUCGGUCUAUAUCGAUCUCUCGCACUCCCGAGGCGUCUCGUUUCCAAUCCGUGAAUGUAGGCGCGCUCUGAGCACAGAUGCUGGGACCCGAAAGAUGGUGAACUAUGCCUGGUCAGGUCGAAGUCAGGGGAAACCCUGAUGGAGGACCGUAGCGAUUCUGACGUGCAAAUCGAUCGUCGGAACUGGGGAUAGGGGCGAA